AUUGAACGCUGGCGGCAGGCCUAACACAUGCAAGUCGAACGAGUGGCGGACUGGUGAGUAAUGUCUGGGAAACUGCCCGAUGGAGGGGGAUAACUACUGUAAACGGUAGCUAAUACCGCAUACCAUCGGAUGUGCCCAGAUGGGAUUAGCUAGUAGGUGGGGAAACGGCUCACCUAGGCGACGAUCCCUAGCUGGUCUGAGAGGAUGACCAGCCACACUGGAACUGAGACACGGUCCAGACUCCUACGGGAGGCAGCAGUGGGGAAUAUUGGACAAUGGGCGAAAGCCUGAUGCAGCCAUGCCGCGUGUAUGAAGAAGGCCUUCGGGUUGUAAAGGACUUUCAGCGAGGAGGCGUUACUCGCAGAAGAAGCACCGGCUAACUACGUGCCAGCAGCCGCGGUAAUAC
rnacentral:rRNA from 1 species